rnacentral:tRNA from 1 species
AGAAGAGUGGUUUAGUGGCGAAAAACUCAGGCCUCUGGUCAGAGAGUCCUGGGUUCAAAUCUCAGCUCUGCCA